CCUACGGGAGGCAGCAGUAGGGAAUCUUCCGCAAUGGACGAAAGUCUGACGGAGCAACGCCGCGUAAACGAAGAAGGCCUUCGGGUCGUAAAGUUCUGUUGUUAGGGAAGAACAAGUACCAGAGUAACUGCUGGUACCUUGACGGUACCUAACCAGAAAGCCACGGCUAACUACGUGCCAGCAGCCGCGGUAAU
rnacentral:rRNA from 1 species